GAGUUUGAUCAUGGCUCAGAACGAACGCUGGCGGCAUGCCUAACACAGCAAGUCGAACGAGACCUUCGGGUCUAGUGGCGCACGGGUGCGUAACGCGUGGGAACCUGCCUUUAGGUUCGGGAUAACAGUUGGAAACGACUGCUAAUACCGAAUAAUGUCUUCGGACCAAAGAUUUAUCGCCUUUAGAUGGGCCCGCGUUGGAUUAGGUAGUUGGUGGGGUAAAGGCCUACCAAGCCGACGAUCCAUAGCUGGUCUGAGAGGAUGAUCAGCCACACUGGGACUGAGACACGGCCCAGACUCCUACGGGAGGCAGCAGUGGGGAAUAUUGGACAAUGGGCGAGAGCCUGAUCCAGCAAUGCCGCGUGAGUGAUGAAGGCCUUAGGGUUGUAAAGCUCUUUUACUGGGGAUGAUAAUGACAGUACCCAGAGAAUAAGCUCCGGCUAACUCCGUGCCAGCAGCCGCGGUAAUAC
rnacentral:rRNA from 1 species